rnacentral:rRNA from 8 species
CCCGUCCGCCCGUGGGUCGGGGGCGGUGGUGGGCCCGCGGGGGAGUCCCGUCGGGAGGGGCCCGGCCCCUCCCGCGCCUCCACCGCGGACUCCGCUCCCCGGCCGGGGCCGCGCCGCCGCUGCCGCGGCGGCCGUCGGGUGGGGGCUUUACCCGGCGGCCGUCGCGCGCCUGCCGCGCGUGUGGCGUGCGCCCCGCGCCGUGGGGGCGGGAACCCCCGGGCGCCUGUGGGGUGGUGUCCGCGCUCGCCCCCGCGUGGGCGGCGCGCGCCUCCCCGUGGUGUGAAACCUUCCGACCCCUCUCCGGAGUCCGGUCCCGUUUGCUGUCUCGUCUGGCCGGCCUGAGGCAACCCCCUCUCCUCUUGGGGGGGGCGGGGGGACGUGCCGCGCCAGGAAGGGCCUCCUCCCGGUGCGUCGUCGGGAGCGCCCUCGCCAAAUCGACCUCGUACGACUCUUAGCGGUGGAUCACUCGGCUCGUGCGUCGAUGAAUGCAGCUAGCUAUGAUAAUUUGAAUUGCAGGACACAUUGAUCACCGACACUUCGAAAGCACUUGUGGCCCUGGGUUCCUCACAUGACUAUGCCUGUCUGAGCGUCACUUGCUGAUCAAUUGCCCCUGGGGGUGCCUCUGGGUUCCUUGGGGUGUGUGGCUAGGGGGUUCCCUUGCAGGGUCUGCCGGGGCCCUCCAUCCCCCCAAGUACAGACCCAGCGAUGUUCGCCCUUCCGCUGCGCACGCCCCUUCCCCCUCACCCUGUGGGCCCUGUGUGGUCCCGUGUUGGUGGCAGGGGGAAGGGGGGCCCGGCUGGGAGAGAGAUGGUGGUGUCACCGCCCACAAAAAUGGAGAGGGAAGAAAGCUGGCUCUGGCCGAGCUCCUGUGGCUGCCAAUGUGGUCCAGGUUCCUCCCUUUGGAGCUACCUUGUGCUGCACGUGGCUCGUGGUUCAUUGGCCCUGGCCAGGUGGAAGGUCCCGUGCCAUUGUCGUCGCGCUUCGUCAGUGGUGGGGGUGCGUCGUGGGGGGUAGGAAGGUAGGUCUGGAAGGGUCUGGCAGGGAGAUGGUCGGGGAGCGUGUCCUGGUUGUUGUGGUUCACUGCCUGCCCCUGGUGGCGGCCUGGUGUCUGGCUGACCGCUGCUCCCGUGCCCCUGCUCCCUACCACCCCUAUGGGGCACUGUCCCCCUCACCCGCCGCCUGCCCACCUGGCUUGCUUUGUGGCGUGUAUGGGGCUGGAAGCCCACCUCGCGGCCCGCCCAGGCGCACUCGUGGCUGCGGUCCCAGGGUUCGCGGGACGCCGUGGUGUCGUCUGCCAUCGCGUGACUGCCUCCAGCUUGUGGCCGUGCCAUGCCGGGUCCCUGUCCUGAGCUUCCGCGUUGGGGUGGGGCGGUGCGGCUGCUGCAACCUUGGACCUGUCCCCCAGGGAGGUGUGCGGUGGCCGUCCCACCCCUGGUCUGUGCCCUUCCCUCCCGUCAUCCUGCUGUGGCAGGGUGGCAGGGGUGCAGUCAGCCGUGGCUCUCUCGCUCUCGCCUCUCCCUUAGCCGGGCCCAUCUCCCGACAGAGCGUCGGGUGGUCAGGCAGGCUGGUGCAUUUCAUCAGUCCGCUGACCAGCCCACCCCUGCCGGCCCAUUUGCCUCGUUCCCCUCCGAGACGUGACAUCAGAUCAGACGUGGCAACCCGCUGAAUUUAAGCGUAUUAGUGAGCGGAGGAAAAGAGACUAACCAGGAUUCCCUCAGUAACGGUGAGUGAAGAGGGAAGAGCCCAGCGCCGAAUCCCCGCCCUGGGGUGGGGUGUGGGAAAUGUUGUGUAUGGAAGGCCCAGUCCCUGGCACUGCUCGUCGGUGGCCCAAGUCCUGAUCUAGGCCAAGACUGUGGAUGGUGUGAGGCUGGUAGCGGCCCCUGGCGUGCUGGGCCUGGGUCUUCCUGGAGUUGGGUUGCUUGGGAAUGCAGACCAAAGUGGGUGGUAAACAUCUAAGGCUAAAUACCGGCACGAGACCAAUAGUGAAGUACCGUAAGGGAAAGUUGAAAAGAACUUUGAAGAGCGUGCAAGAGGGCGUGAAACCAUUAAGAGGUAAACGGGUGGGGUCCGCGCAGUCUGCUCAGAGGAUUCAACCUGGUGGCGGGUCCGGCCGUGUCGGUGGCCCAGUGGAUCUUUCCCGCCCCAAGUUCCUCCCGAACCCUCCACCCGCCCUCCCUCCCCGACUGCCCCUCCUCCUCCCCGGAGGUGGGUUGGUGUGGGCGGGCAGGGCCGGGGUCGGUGGGUGACCAUCCCCUAACUGGCGACUGGUGGCCGCCCGGCGCAUUUCCACCACAGCGGUGCACUGUGGCUGGCUCUGGGAUGGUUGGGAAGGCCCGGUGGGGAAAGGUGGGUCUGGGGGCCCCGUCCGUCCUUCCCCGUCUUCUCCCCGGCCCCGCGUCCUCCCUCGGGAGGCCAUGCGGGUCGGGGUGGCGGCAGUGGUGGGACCGAACCUCCUGAGUUACAGACCCCCCGCAGCAGCCCUAGCCAAAUCCCAGGGCGGAGGGAGCGAGACCCAUUGCCGUGCUCUCCCUUGCCGGUGCCCACCCCCUUGGGGGUGCGCCUGUGUCUCCUGGUGGGGGGCUGGGCCACCCCGCCCACGGUGUGACUGCUCUCCCACCCGCCUCCAUGCAUCCCCACUGACGGGGGACCGCAUAGAGGGGUGGGGUAGACUGUCCCCAGUGUGCCAUGGGCGGGUCAUACUGUCGGCCCCGGGGGAGUUCUCUCGGGGCCAUGCGGACGUCACUCGGUGGAGCGAGCACAUGGGGUCAGCGGCGACGUUGUCUCCCCACCCGACCCUACUUGAAAAAUGGACCAAGGUUAACACGUUGGUGAGUCAGGGGCUCCCACGAAAGCCGCUGUGGAGCAAUGAAGGUGAAGGGCGGUGUGCUCGCUGGCCGAGGUGGGAUCCCGAGGCCUCUCCAGUCUGCCGACGGCAUACCACCGUCCCGUCUCGCCUGCCGCGGCAGGGAGGUGGAGCGCGAGCGCACGUGUUAGGACCCAAAAGAUGGUGAACUAUGCCUGGGCAGGGUGGAACCAGAGGAAACGCUGGUGGAGGUCCGUAGCGGCCCUGACGUGCAAAUCGGUCUUUCGACCUGGGUAUAGGGGGUAAAAGACUAAUCAAACCAUCUAGUAGCUGGUUCCCUCUGAAGUUUCCCUUAGGAUACCUGGUGCUCUCGCAAACCUAACCUCCCCACACAGUUUUAUCCGGUAAAGCGAAUGAUUAGAGGUCUUGGUGCCGAAACGAUCUCAACCUAUUCUGAAACUUUAAAUGUGUAAGAAGUCCGGCUUGCUGGCGUGGAGCUGGGCGUGGAAUGCGAGUGCUUAGUGGGCUACUUUUGGUAAGUAGAACUGGCAUUGUGGGAUGAACAGAAUGCCGGGUUAAGGUGCCCGAUGCCAACGAUCAUCAGACCCGAGAAAAUGUGUUGGUUGAUAUAGACAGCAGGACGGUGGCUAUGGAAGUUGGAAUCUGCUAAGGAGUGUGUAACAACUCACCUGCUGAAUCAACUAGCCCUGAAAAUGGAUGGUGCUGGAGUGUCCGGCCCAUACCCGGCCGUUGCUGGCAGUUGAGAGUGGACGGGAGCGGCAGGGGCGUUAUGCCCGUGUGAGUGUGGUGGGGGUCCUCUCCUGCACCCUCCCCCAGAGCCCCACGGAUUUUAUGCCGCGACGAGUAGGAGGGCCGCUGCGGUAAGCUUUGAAGUCCAGGGCAUGGGCCCGGUUGGAGCCACUGCAGGUGCAGAACUUGGUGGUAGUAGCAAAUUUUCAAAUGAGAACUUUGAAGGCCUAAGUGGAGAAGGGCUCCAUGUGAACAGCAGUUGAACAUGUGUCGGUUGGUCCUGAGAGAUGGGUGAGUGCCGUUCCGAAGGGACGGGUGAGGGCCUCCAUUGCCCUCAGCCGGUUGAAAGGGAGACGGGUUCAGAUCCCCGAAUCCAGAGUGGCAGAGAUGGGCACCAUGAGGCUUCCGGUGCGGUAAUGUGACCGAUCCUGGAGAAGCAUGCAGGAGCCCCGGGGAGGGUUCUCUUUUCUUUGUGAAGGGCAGGACGCCCUGGAAUGGGUUCGCCCUGAGAGAGGGGCCUGUACCUUGGAAAGCGUCGUGGUUCUGGCGGCAUCUGGUGAGCUCUGGCUGGCCUUUGAAAAUCCAGGGGAGACUGUGUGAGUCUCGCACAGGGCCAUACCCAUAUCUGCAGCAGGUCUCCAAGGUGAACAGACUCUGGCAUGUUGGAACAAUGUAGGUAAGGGAAGUCAGCAAGCUGGAUCCGUAACUUUGGGAUAAGUAUUGGCUGUAAGGGCUGGGUGCGUGCCGCCACUGGACGAGGUGCCACCACCCCCCCACGCCCAGGGCGAGCCUGUCGUGGCCCUCCCCUGCCCCACGCCGCGUGCCGCUCCCUACCCCGCCCCCUCUCUCCCUGUCCUCCCCCUCCCUGGGGUUGGCGGUGGCCAUAGGGCCCUGUUGGUGGGGCAUGACCUCCCGUGAUGGGGCCCAGGGGGCUGGUGUUGGCCGUGACUCUGGACGCAAGUUGGGCCAUUCCGUGGAUUACCCCAGUGUGGCCGCCCCAUGGGGAGCCUGGUGGUUGCUGGUGUGCCCUGUCUCGCUCCGCACCAUCGUGUAUGUCCGCGUGGGCAGGGAACGACCGGGUGUCCGUGGGUGGUGGGCGGGGUGGUUCGUUCCCCCACCUCCCCCGGGCCCCAUCCUUCUCCUGUCCCCACCUCUGUGGCGGUGGCGGGCUGCUGGCUGGUCCCUGCCCCCGGGGCUGCGGUUCCGUGCAGCGCCUCGGCCAGUGCUUAGCAGCCGACUUAGAACUGGUGUGCACCAGGGGAAUCCGACUGUUUAAACAAAGCAUCGCGAAGGCCCUUGGGGGCUGUUGCAAAGUGAUUUCUGCCAAUUGCUCUGAAUGUCAAAAUGAAGAAACUCAAUGAAGCACGGGUAAAUGGAGGGAGUAACUGUGACUCUCUUAAGGUAGCCAAAUGCUUCGUCAUCUAACUAGUGAUGUGCAUGAAUGGAUGAAUGAGAUUCUCACUGUCCCUACCUACUUACUCUCCAGUGAAACAACAGCCAAGGGAAUGGGAUUGGUGGAAUCAGUGGGGAAAGAAGACCCUGUUGAGCUUGACUCUAGUCUGGCAUGGUGAAGAGAUGUGAGAGAUGUAGAAUAAGUGGGAGGUCCCCUGUGAUCCCCUGUCCCCCUGAGGGGGAGGGGUGGGGUCCUGUGGGCUGCCCGUGGAAUACUACCACUCUGAUAGUUUUUUCACUGACCUGGUGAGGCAGGGGGUGAGCUCUGAGGGGCUCUCCCUUCUGGCGCCAAGUGUCCGGCUGUGCGCUGGCUAGGUGUGACCCAUUCCGGGGACAGUGCCAGGUGGGGAGUUUGCAGCGGUACACCUGUUGAACGGUAAUGCUGGUGUCCUAAGGCGAGCUCAGGGAGGACAGAAACUUCGUGAGGAGAAGGGCAAAAGCUCGCUUGAUCUUGAUUUUCAGUGGGAAUACAGACUGAAAGCUGGGCUUUGACUAUCCUUCUGACCUUUUUAAGCAGGAGGUUGUCAGGAAGUUACCACAGGAGAUAACUGGCUUGUUGUGGCCAAGUGUUCAUAAGGACGUUGCUUUUUGAUCCUUUGAUGUUGGCUCUUCCUAUCAUUGUGAAGUAGAAUUCACCCAGCAUUGGAUUGUUCAACUAAUAGGGCAUGUGAGCUGGAUUUAGACCGUCGUGAGACAGGUUAGUUUUACCCUACAUGAUGUGUUGCCAUGGUACCUGCUCAGCAUGAGAGGAACCACAGGUUCAGACAUGUGCUUGGUUGAGGAGCCAAUGGGGUGAAACUACCAUCUGUUGGAUUAUGACUGAAUGCCUCUAAGUCAGAAUCCCACCCAGGUGGAAGGAUACAGCAACGUCAUGGAGCCUUGGUUGGCCUUGGAUAGCUGGUUCCCCAUCCCUGCUGGUGGGCUGCGGCGCCCUGGGUUAGGUGUGUCCCACCAUGUGCCAGGACUGGGUCCGGUGCAGAGUGCCCUUCAUCCUGGGAAGGGUGUGGCUGGAAAGGCUACCUACUCGCCCGCCACGCGGCAUACAUUCGGGGGAAGUUGGCACUAAACCAUUCAUAGACGACCUGCUUCCGGGUCAGAGUUUCGUAAGUAGCAGAGCAGCUCCCUCUCUGUGAUCUAUUGUAAGUCAGCCCUCGACACAAGGGUUUGUCC